UCGCGAGCUCACCGUUGCUGUCGCUGCGACAGUUAGCUAGCAUUUAUUGCGAGGUAACUGUUGCAGCAUCCAUGACUGUGAGGUCAGUAUU
rnacentral:pre_miRNA from 1 species